AUCCCCAAGGAGUUAGAUGCUGAGCUUAUUAAGGCCAACAUUCCUGAACAAGGGUUACUCGAAGCUACGUGUACCGCAUGCACACAAGACGCGGGAGCCAUAGAAUAUCAGGUAAGCAAAUUCGAACAGUCUGCACUGGUGGUAGGACCUCUUAUCCGCGCGGGUAGGUACCACCACCCUGCCUAUUUCUGCCGUGAAGCAGUAAUGCAUUUCGGUUGUAACUAUAUUUGAGACCUUAGAACUUAUAUCUCAAGGUGGGUGGCGCAUUUACGUCGUCGAUGUCUAUGGGCUCCAGUAAUCACUUAACACUAGGUGGACUGUGAGCUCGCCCCCCAUGUAAGCAAUAAAAAAAAACCUCUUGGCUUUCCGGAAUAGCCGUAGAAACCCCCAAAAAAAAGGCACUCCGAGCCAUUGCCACAAUUGUCAGCUGCAGGGCACUCUUACCGUAAUUGUCACGCGCGCCCUCGAUACGUCAAGCGCUUGGGCGUUCACAUCACGGCCCUUUGCACUCGCAAUCAAAAACCCUAAUGCGUAGACUCGUCCAUACAAACAAAAAAUAAUCAAAAUAUAAGCCUUAUUUUGAGCGUGACAAGUUGAACCCGGAAAUUGGGCAAAGCAUCAGCCCUGCUUAAGACCGGCAAGGUUAGGCGUGCCCACUGAGUUUCGAUCCGGUGGUAGAUUCUGCGAAGCACUACUCUUGCUAGGGUCAGUGUUAGUUACAUGUUAUGGCGAAGCUGAAAUAGCCACUCAAGGCUAUCAACAUAGGUAGGAAAAAAAGAGGUUCGACGGUAGCCGGCAGUUAUCGUCCGAUGACCCUGCUAUCGUACGUGGGCUAGUUUUUCGAAUGGCCGCUGCUUGCUGAGAAGGAUGUCGCCGUAUAUCGUUCUCAGAUUUAGAUGAAGAAAAAAAGAUGUGUAGUGUCGUGGGACACCGGAUAGGAACGAAGUUCCUUAUCAAAAAAAAUUUAAUUUUAGGUUCUAUUCGAGGUAUAAAGAAAAUGAAACUGGAGGUUUCGCAACAACCCACGGUCAUUCGCUUCUAUGUGACCCGUGGUGUGAGGCCUACCGCGGAUCCUGUCGACGUGACGUACACCGCGCCCGGCCAUAUGCGCAUCGCGGCAGUCCGAGCCCAGGAGGAGGUGAUGACAUUGUUCGCGACGGUCCGCGUUGUCGGAGGCGGGGUCGGUUGGAACUUCGUCACUCUACGCUUCACAAACUCACCGCGCAGAGGAUUUAACUUUCACGUGAUCCGUCCAUCCAUCGAACACAUAUGUAUCUCUGUUUGUCAGGUUCUGAGUGGGUUUUAAAUUUAAAGAAACAAUAUUAUAGUCUAAAAAGUUAUUUGUAUUAUUAAUUAAAAUUUAUUUAAGUGAA